rfam:Schizophyllum commune H4-8 unplaced genomic scaffold SCHCOscaffold_9, whole genome shotgun sequence.
GGGCUUGUGGUACAGCGGUAGCACGCUCGCUUUGCACCUUCGAGGAGUAUGCGAGAGGUCCGGGGUUCAACUCCCCGCGGGUCCA